CACGUAGGGUGCGAGCGUUGUCCGGAAUUAUUGGGCGUAAAGAGCUCGUAGGCGGUGUGUCGCGUCGGCCGUGAAAACCUGCAGCUUAACUGUGGGCUUGCGGUCGAUACGGGCAUCACUGGAGUUCGGCAGGGGAGACUGGAAUUCCUGGUGUAGCGGUGAAAUGCGCAGAUAUCAGGAGGAACACCGAUGGCGAAGGCAGUUCUCUGGGCCGUAACUGACGCUGAGGAGCGAAAGCGUGGGGAGCGAACAGG
rnacentral:rRNA from 1 species